rnacentral:rRNA from 1 species
CCUACGGGUGGCAGCAGUGGGGAAUAUUGGGCAAUUUUCUACAUCCUUCCCCCUCCCCUCCUCUUUCCUGAAGAAUGCUUUCUUUUUUUAAACUUCUUUUGACAGGGAAGAGCAGCAGACGGUACCUGUCGAAUAAGCCACGGCUAACUACGUGCCAGCAGCCGCGGUAAUACGUAGGUGGCAAGCGUUGUCCGGAUUUACUGGGUGUAAAGGGCGUGUAGCCGGGCUGACAAGUCAGAUGUGAAAUCCGGGGGCUCAACCCCCGAACUGCAUUUGAAACUGUUGGUCUUGAGUAUCGGAGAGGCAGGCGGAAUUCCUAGUGUAGCGGUGAAAUGCGUAGAUAUUAGGAGGAACACCAGUGGCGAAGGCGGCCUGCUGGACGACAACUGACGGUGAGGCGCGAAAGCGUGGGGAGCAAACAGGAUUAGAUACCCGAGUAGUC